rnacentral:rRNA from 1 species
UACGUAGGGGGCGAGCGUUAUCCGGAUUUACUGGGUGUAAAGGGGGCGCAGACUGUGCGCAAAGCCGGACGUGAAAGCCGGGGCCCACCCCCCGGAGGACGUCCGGGACUUGCGUGCUGGAGUGCCGGAGGGGCAGGCGGAAUUCCUGGUGUAGCGGUGAAAUGCGUAGAUAUCAGGAGGAACACCGGUGGCGAAGGCGGCCUGCUGGACGUGGCACUGACGUUGAGGCCCGAAAGCGUGGGGAGCAAAC